AGCUUUGCGCAGUGGCAAUAUUGUAGCCAAUGAGGUUUAUCUGAGGCAUGAUUAUUGCUAAUUGGAAGUAUU
rnacentral:snRNA from 1 species